UNUNGAAAGCCUGACGGAGCAAUACCGCGUGAGGGAUGACAGCCUUAGGGUUGUAAACCUCUUUUAUCAAGGAGGAAGUUCUGACGUGUACUUGAUGAAUAAGCAUCGGCUAACUCCGUGCCAGCAGCCGCGGUAAGACGGAGGAUGCAAGUGUUAUCCGGAAUCACUGGGCGUAAAGCGUCUGUAGGUGGUUUAAAAAGUCCACUGUUAAAAAUUGAAGCUUAACUUCAAAGAUGCUGCGGAAACUUUUAAACUUGAGUAUGGUAGGGGUAAAGGGAAUUUCCAGUGGAGCGGUGAAAUGCGUAGAUAUUGGAAGGACCACCAAUGGCGAAGGCACUUUACUGGGCCAUUACUGACACUGAGAGACGAAAGCUAGGGGAGCAAAUGGGAUUAGAUACCCCAGUAGUCCUAGCCGUAAACGAUGGAUACUAGAUGUUGUGUGUAUUGACCCAUGCAGUAUCGUAGCUAACGCGUUAANUNUCCCCCCCGGGAAAUAUUCUCCCAGAAUG
rnacentral:rRNA from 1 species